rnacentral:rRNA from 1 species
AUUGAACGCUGGCGGCAUGCCUUACACAUGCAAGUCGAACGGCAGCGGGGGAGAAGCUUGCUUUUCCUGCCGGCGAGUGGCGAACGGGUGAGUAAUACAUCGGAACGUGCCCUGUAGUGGGGGAUAACUAGUCGAAAGAUUAGCUAAUACCGCAUACGAACUGAGGGUGAAAGUGGGGGACAGCAAGGCCUCAUGCUGUAGGAGCGGCGGAUGUCUGAUUAGCUAGUUGGUGGGGUAAAGGCCUACCAAGGCAACGAUCAGUAGCUGGGCGGGGAGGACGGUCAGCCACACUGGGACUGAGACACGGCCCAGACUCCUACGGGAGGCAGCAGUGGGGAAUUUUGGACAAUGGGCGAAAGCCUGAUCCGGCAAUGCCGCGUGUGUGAAGAAGGCCUUCGGGUUGUAAAGCACUUUUGUCCGGAAAGAAAUGGCUCUGGUUAAUACCUGGGGUCGAUGACGGUACCGGAAGAAUAAGGACCGGCUAACUACGUGCCAGCAGCCGCGGUAA